rnacentral:rRNA from 1 species
UACGUAGGGUGCGGAGCGUUAAUCGGAAUUACUGGGCGUAAAGCGUGCGCAGGCGGUUCGUUGUGUCGGCGGUGAAAGCCCCGGGCUUAACCUGGGAAUGGCCGUUGAAACUGGCGAACUGGAGUGUGGCAGAGGGGGGUGGAAUUCCGCGUGUAGCAGUGAAAUGCGUAGAGAUCCGGAAGAACACCAGUGGCGAAGGCGGCCCGCUGGGCAGUGGCUGACGCUGAGGAGCGAAAGCGUGGGGAGCGAACAGG